rnacentral:lncRNA from 1 species
UAGAUACAUGAGAUACAAUGAGUUGGAAAUGUAAUUUAUGGUACUAAGUAGACCUGUCAAAUAGACCCUUAUAAUAGGUCUUAGCCCUAGCCCAUGUGGGUUGGGCCAAAAAAGCCCCUAGGGUCAAAAAAGCCCUUUAUUAAAAAAGCCCCCAGGGCUAAAAAGUCCUAAAGCCCUAUGGGUUAGGGCCAGCCCAUGGGCUUUCUUUUUUACAAAAAAAAAUUAAAUAUCC